rnacentral:lncRNA from 1 species
GUUGACGUCUGGUCGAGUCUUCCCAGUUCAUCCGUUGAUGUCUGGUCACCUCUCCGUUGGUGUCGAUAAACGUCGAGUUUCUCCCGUUCGUCCGUUGACGUAUGGUCGAGUCUUUCUAGUUCAUCCGUUGAUGUCUGGUCACCUCUCCGUUGGUGUCGAUAAACGUUCAGUUUUUCCUAUUCGUCCGUUGACGUCUAGUUGUACCUUCUUCCAG